AAUAAUAAAGGUCUUGGAGCAUUUGCUUAAUCAAAUUGACAUCAUGUCACAAGUUUGAAACCCUCACCAAAGUUUAGAUGGGAAUAUGCGAGACUUUUGUGAUGGAGAGCAGUUUAAUCCUGGUCGCCAUCCACUGUUUUCAGUCAACCAUAAGGCUCUUCAGAUUCUUCUUUACUAUGAUGACUUUGAAGUAGCAAAUUCUUUAGGAGCAAAGGCAACUGUGCACAAGCUAGGUGGAUUUUAUUGGAUUUUAGGAAAUAUACAUCCAAAGUACAGAUCAUCCCUUAAAAUGUUGAAUCUUGCCAAUUGUGCCCUGUGAAGUGGAUAAAAAAGUAUAGUAUGGCAAAAGUUUUGAAGCCUUUGAUGACUGAUGUGGCAUUGCUAGAAUCAGAAAAUGGAGUUCAACUAAAUAUAGGGCAGUCCAUUAGAUCUUUUGAAGGUACCUUGAGCUUGGUUUUAGCAGAUAACCUUGGCAGCAAUGGUAUCGGAGGCUUUAUGGAGAGCUUUUCAGCAAAAAGGCCAUGUCGAUUUUGUAUGGGUAUAUUGGAUGAAUUUCAAACAAAGUUCACAGAAGAAGAGUUUACCAUGCGUUCCAGGGAGAUGUAUGACCGGCAUGCUGCCUUUUCAA